rnacentral:rRNA from 1 species
UACGAAGGGGGCUAGCGUUGUUCGGAUUUACUGGGCGUAAAGCGCACGUAGGCGGAUCGAUCAGUCAGGGGUGAAAUCCCAGGGCUCAACCCUGGAACUGCCUUUGAUACUGUCGAUCUGGAGUAUGGAAGAGGUGAGUGGAAUUCCGAGUGUAGAGGUGAAAUUCGUAGAUAUUCGGAGGAACACCAGUGGCGAAGGCGGCUCACUGGCCCGAUACUGACGCUGAGGCACGAAAGCGUGGGGAGCAAACAGG